rnacentral:rRNA from 1 species
AUUGAACGCUGGCGGCAUGCCUUACACGUGCAAGUCGAACGGUAACAGGUCUUCGGAUGCUGACGAGUGGCGAACGGGUGAGUAAUGCAUCGGAACGUGCCCAGUAGUGGGGGAUAGCCCGGCGAAAGCCGGAUUAAUACCGCAUACGACCUGAGGGUGAAAGGGGGGGAUCGCAAGACCUCUCGCUAUUGGAGCGGCCGAUGUCAGAUUAGCUAGUUGGUGGGGUAAAGGCCUACCAAGGCAACGAUCUGUAGUUGGUCUGAGAGGACGACCAGCCACACUGGAACUGAGACACGGACCAGACUCCUACGGGAGGCAGCAGUGGGGAAUUUUGGACAAUGGGCGCAAGCCUGAUCCAGCAAUGCCGCGUGCAGGAAGAAGGCCUUCGGGUUGUAAACUGCUUUUGUCAGGGAAGAAAUCUUCUGGGUUAAUACCUCGGGAGGAUGACGGUACCUGAAGAAUAAGCACCGGCUAACUACGUGCCAGCCGCCGCUGUAAAAC